UACGUAGGGAGCGAGCGUUGUCCGGAAUUACUGGGUGUAAAGGGCGUGUAGGCGGGGGGCCAAGUCAGAUGUGAAAUACCGAGGCUUAACUUCGGGGCUGCAUUUGAAACUGGUCUUCUUGAGUGGUGAAGAGGAAAGCGGAAUUCCUAGUGUAGCGGUGAAAUGCGUAGAUAUUAGGAGGAACACCAGUGGCGAAGGCGGCUUUCUGGGCACUAACUGACGCUGAGGCGCGAGAGCGUGGGGAGCAAACAGGAUUAGAUACCCUGGUAGUCCACGCCGUAAACGAUGAUUACUAGGUGUAGGGGGUAUCGACCCCCCCUGUGCCGGAGUUAACACAAUAAGUAAUCCACCUGGGGAGUACGGCCGCAAGGUUGAA
rnacentral:rRNA from 1 species